AAUGAACGCUGGCGGCAGGCCUAACACAUGCAAGUCGAACGGAUCCUUCGGGAUUAGUGGCGGACGGGUGAGUAACGCGUGGGAACGUGCCCUUUGGUUCGGAAUAGCCUCGGGAAACUGGGAGUAAUACCGGAUAAGCCCUUCGGGGGAAAGAUUUAUCGCCAAAGGAUCGGCCCGCGUUGGAUUAGGUAGUUGGUGGGGUAAUGGCCUACCAAGCCGACGAUCCAUAGCUGGUUUGAGAGGAUGAUCAGCCACACUGGGACUGAGACACGGCCCAGACUCCUACGGGAGGCAGCAGUGGGGAAUCUUAGACAAUGGGGGAAACCCUGAUCUAGCCAUGCCGCGUGAUCGAUGAAGGCCUUAGGGUUGUAAAGAUCUUUCAGGUGGGAAGAUAAUGACUGUACCACCAGAAGAAGCCCGGCUAACUCCGUGCCAGCCGCCGCCGUAACAC
rnacentral:rRNA from 1 species